rnacentral:rRNA from 1 species
UACAUGGGGUGCAACCGUUGCUCGGAAUUAUUGGGCCUAAAGCAUCCGUAGCCGGUUCUACAAGUCUUCCGUUAAAUCCACCUGCUUAACAGAUGGGCUGCGGAGGAUACUAUAGAGCUAGGAGGCGGGAGAGGCAAGCGGUACUUAGUGGGUAGGGGUAAAAUCCGUUGAUCCAUUGAAGACCACCAGUGGCGAAGGCGGCUUGCCAGAACGCACUCGACGGUGAGGGAUGAAAGCUGGGGGAGCAAACCGG